GAGCAUGGCAUGCGUUUGCAGAGACAGUGAAAUGAUAAAUCCAAAAGUGUGGAUAACAGCUUUUGCGAGCUGUCUUCUUACUCGUCCCGAUACAAAAGGGUUUCGAAUGCCUGCAAUCUGGGAGGUGAUGCCAGACUUGUUCUUCAGCCCGUUUUGCUUAAAAGAGUCUGUCCGACAAGGGUCAAUCCCACCACAAGACCGGACAAUUAUAGAAGUUGAUUCAAAUUUUACUGGACGAGACACAAAUGUGGAGAAUCGGUUGGAUUACUUCAGGGAGGACCUUGGGGUUAACUCGCAUCAUUUCCAUUGGCAUUUGAUCUACACUCUGGAAGACCCACGAGGACGUCGGGAUCGUAAAGGAGAGACGACGAGUUCAGCGGCCCUAAGCAUGACGAGGUAUAAAAAAC